GCCUUUUCCAACCUGUCUGCUUUUGUCUUUUCCUUCCCCCACUAUGCUUGAAAGACGAACUGUCUGUCACAUUUUUUCAAAGUUUUCUCCUUACUAACCUGGGAAAGGUAACUGAGCCGGUGCAUGUCCCCCUGUUUCCUCCUGCGUCUGAGUCCUCGAGUCUCAGCCAAAGGGCGUCUUAGCUUGUGUACAGUUGCCCCUUGUGGAGUACGUGGCCCAUGUGUCAGUCUUUCAAGCAGUGUCAUUGAUGUGGGGUCCUUUCCCGUGUGUGUGUGUCUGUCUCUGUGUGUCCUGAGCCACAGGCCCUCUGAGGAAAUAAGGUGGCCGUGCUGCUCCGCCCCAUGUGGCUCUUCAUUGUUUAUGGUCGCUUGGCCUUUGCCUGUGGUGCAGCAGGGGACGUCGUCACCCUUCCCCUUUGUGACCCUACAACAUGGCUGGGACGAUCAAUGUGCAUGACCUAGGGCAUUACCAGAAGGACUCCUAUUUAACACAGGAUACUGUCGCCUGGGUCCCCCAAGUAGAAUUCAGUUAUGAGUGGUGA
rnacentral:lncRNA from 1 species